rnacentral:snRNA from 1 species
AUCGCUUCUCAGCCCUUUGGCUAAGGUCAAGUGUAAUGUCUGUUCUUAUCAAUUUAAAUAAUGCUAUAAGGAACCUUUUUGUUGACAAUUACAUAUGCACAGUCCCGAUAGUUUCCUUAGGAUAAAUUCCUGGAAAUGGAAUUGUUUUAUUAAAGAGUAUAUACAUUUUCAAAUGUUUU